rnacentral:rRNA from 1 species
AACGCUGGCGGCGUGGAUAAGACAUGCAAGUCGAGCGCUGAUUUGAGGGUAGCAAUACUUUCAGGGUCGGAGCGGCGCAAGGGUGCGUAACACGUGGGUAAUCUGCCAUGAAGUUCGGGAUAACUUGCUGAAAGGCGAGCUAAUACCGGAUGUGACAACCGAGAGGCAUCUUUUGGUUGUUAAAGUUGGGGACCGUAAGGCCUGACGCUUCUUGAUGAACCCGCGGCCUAUCAGCUAGUUGGUGAGGUAACGGCCCACCAAGGCUAAGACGGGUAGCUGGUCUGAGAGGACGACCAGCCACACUGGAACUGAGACACGGUCCAGACACCUACGGGUGGCAGCAGUCGAGAAUUUUUCACAAUGGGCGAAAGCCUGAUGGAGCGACGCCGCGUGGGGGAUGAAUGGCUUCGGCCCGUAAACCCCUGUCAUUCGCGAUCAAACCUUAUUAUUUAAAAGAUGAUGAGCUGAUAGUAGCGGAAGAAGAAGGGACGGCUAACUCUGUGCCAGCAGCCGCGGUAAUACAGAGGUCCCAAGCGUUGUUCGGAUUCACUGGGCGUAAAGGGUUGCGUA